rnacentral:sRNA from 5 species
UGUAUCUGAAGUCUGACGAGGAUGAGAACCUCCGGGGGCAAGAGGUUCGACUCGAGCGAAGCGAGAGAACGUUGCGUCAGCAACGGCCCGCAGGGCGAGCCA